rnacentral:lncRNA from 1 species
GAUAAAUUGGGUCUCUCCAGCAGCCAUAGAGGAUAUGAGUGUGUGUUUAAGUUCAGAGAGAUUUAUUGUGGUAAGUUUACUAACAAGGUGAGGGAGGCUGAGAAAACCCAUGCUCUCUUGCUUGAGACUCAAGCAACCUGGACCUGUACUUCAAUGUAAGUCUCUGCAUUCCAGAACUGAGGAAGCUAAUGAUAUUGACACCAACUCUGUAGGUAAGAGAUGAGUUGAGAUGGUCCAGCUCAAACAGUAAAGUGGGGAGAAAGUGAAGAAUUCCUCUUUCCUUGGUGAUUUGUGUGUGUGUGUGUGUGUGUGUGUGUGUGUAUGUCCAUCUGUCUCUGCCUCUCAGUAUUAGAACAGUGUGUACCAUCGGGGCAGGCUUUGUUUGGUUGGUUUGGUUUGGUUUUUAAAUAGUUUAACAUGGUUGAACUCAGGUUCUGGGAGCAAUCACAUUUGUAAACAAGCCCUCCUUGCAUCCCUCACUGGCUGUUUUGUGUUCUUCAUCUGAUCUGAUGAGGUCCAGCACACAGGAGGCACCGUGCAUCACAGAGUUCGUCAGCUUAUUUACACUAGUGUCCUCUACCAGUGUCCACUAGAAAAAAUGUUCUCAAACAUCUCUAGAAACAGUGUUUAACUUGAGUGCAGCAUGAUACAUCAAGUCAACAUGAAAUUAAGCAUCAUACUAUCUGGGAACAACUAUAUGAUGCUGGCCCCAAACAUGAUUUUCAACCUGUUUUUCAUAUGUAUUCAUGAACUCUUUGAUGAGUAUAUGCCUAAUUUUAAAUGUUCUUUAAUCUUGGAUUUCAUGAUGUCACCCAACACAGUAAAAGUAGAUUCUUGCGUUCAUGAGUUCUCACAUAAUGCUUGACUGAUAAAAUGUUCAAUAAGUGAAUGAAUAAAUGUUCUAACCUAAGUAUCACAAACUUAUGAAGUCUCUCUAGUAAGAGGCCUUCAAACACUAUUGAGCUUAGGCAUAUAAUGAAGUUACAUGUCAGUGGACUGUAUUUAUGUUCUUCAGUCAAGAUGACAUGCAGUUUACUGUAUCAGGAGGGGAAAAACCCUGUGACAAGACUUUGUUUCAGCACAUUACGAUAAUCCCAGCUAAUCAAGGUACAUCAUCAAUUUCAAAGUCGUUCCCACAAGCUAAAAGCUCCAAAUGGAAAAAUCUCCUCCAUUACUAAACGAAAAAGCACAAAUCACAACCUCGCUCAGUAUUCUUGUCACUCAGCAGUCAUUUUGGAGGGAGAAAAAUAAAGAACCCAUUCAAGUCGAGACUUUCUAUGUUUUCCCCACCUCCUGUAUGCUGCAACUGCUUUGUGAGAAAUUACGUGGGGGAGGGGGGAAGCAAAAAAAGCAGUUUGCAAAUAGCUUUCAAAUCCAGAGUGCUCUCCUGAGGAUAGGAUCCUAAUAGGAUAGAGAUGAGGCUAAGUUGCUGGAUGCUGCUGCCCAUUACUCUUUUGUUCCCACUCCAGGAAAACAUGCACAGAUCUCCUAAGGAGGCUUCUGGGCACGUGUUUUUGCUUACUGCCUAAUGUGGUUCUAAUAACACAAACAUUCCAGCGAAGCAAUGACGACACAGCGAGAGCUACAGAUAUUAGAGGCCCACGCAAUGGAAGCGUUUGGGGGAAAGAACAGCGAAUGCGUCUCUGACAUUUUCUUGUUACUGUCUUGGUAUGACUCCUCCUGGCCUGCAUUAACAGAAGAAGAAACACAGACCGAGCAAAAGUGAACGAGAGGGAUUUGAGGACAGCAUUCCUCGGAAUACCCCAAAGUAUCCUUGCUUCGGAGGCGGUUCUGCCUUUCUAAAUGCAUGUGUGUGGAUCAAUUACAGGUUUUUUGGAGUUCUUUUUUCACUGUUUGAUUCAUUGUGCAUUCUCAGACAUGGACCAAGUAUGUGCUCCUUGGGUAAGAAAAAGAACCCUAAACUUAUUACGGUACAUCUUACACUUUAAAUUAAAUUUAAAUUCAGAAGAAUUAUUACUGAAGGAGGUUGUGUGUUGGCUCAUCCAGACAUCAAUUCUAAUGUCAAUGGAGUGUCUUAGACUCUGAGUAUUAGGUGAAGAUGGACCAUAUUUAAACCUUGAGCCAACAGCUUCCAUGUUCCCUGGAUCACCUACAGGCAUAUGGCUUAGGUGGGAGAGUCCAGGCUUGGAGUGUUCUCAUGGUGCUUAGCACACGCUUCUUGCCAUAGCCUCUUUAUUUGAAACAUGGGAAGGUGCUGGCCCUAAAAGGCCUUACUUCACCAUCUAUAUAACAUUUUUGCCCAUAGUUGGAGUUUCCCUUGAGGUGAUCAUCCAUAUGGAAGAGAGUUCAGUGUAGAGCAUCCCACAAUGGGAUGACAUCUACAUCAAACUUGACAGCAUGGCAGAGUAGAGUCCAAACUUCUAGUUGCUUC